GAAAGGUGUAUUCCAGGUUGCACUAUCAUUAAGAUGGGGUUCAACUACCAUGACAUCUGUAAACAUACUCUUGGAGAGGUUAGAAUUGGUCCAUUUGCAAUGACUCAUGGCUUUGAAGUCCUCUACAAGUGUGAUGGAGUCAGUUACAAUGAUGCUUUGGAAGCUGUUGCAAUAUUUGCUGUCAACAUUUGUGAGGCUAUGAGAGAUGAAGAGGUCUGGAAGGAAGUCAAAGAUUCUUUUGACCUGUUGUUUCUGAACACGCUGGACUCCAGAUGGGACAAGAAAUCAGGGAUGGCUCCUUUAUCUGCAAACAUUAGAACCUAUAAACAUUACUCGCUUCAGUAUUUGGAAUAUGUUGAUUGCAUGAUAAGAAAAAAACCCCUUCCAGAGAUAACCAAUCGCAGUGGCCUACAUGUCAAAUCCAUCCAUGAAUUGAGGAAUCGAAUUAGAGUGCCCUUAAGGGAUGCAUACAACGAAGGUGAAUUCCUUCAUGAAAAGCGACCAAAGUCACCUGUGUGGUGUCCACCUUAUCCAGAUGGCAAGGAUUGGAUCUCUGAAGAAGAGCAAUUGAAGGAGGAAGAAGAGGAGGAAUAAAAGAAACCAGUUGCAGCUGCUGUAUGACAGUGGAUCUUGAUGUCAAGGAACGACGGAGCGACCAAGGAUGCAUGGCUGGGCAAACUGAAGGAGGGGAUGGAGCGAUGGUGGUCUGCACCUAAAAGUUCCAAUGAGUUGUUUUCUAUAUUUGUAGACCAGGUCUUUUAGUGUCGGUUUUUGGAGUUGUUUUGCUGUAAAAUAGGGGUGUCGUUUCUGGUGUUGUGAUCGUACUGUGGGGAGGUUUAGAUGGAGGUGUGCCUCUCUUUUGAUGUGCUUGGAUGUAAUAGCUGGUGUCCCCAGCAAAAACUGUUACCAUUUUCAGCUUUCAAUAUAAGCUGGGCGUCACGCCUUUGAUCUAAGAAAA